GCCCUCUUCAACGCUGCGUUUCCAUGCUACAAACAGAGACAAUAGUUCCCCCCUUCACCGAGGACUCUCUUGUCUCAACCUCGCAUGUGGGAAAUUCGGAGAAUGCUUCAAACCCCCAACAUCCCUCCCUCUCGCUCCCGGCGAUGCACAGGUCUGCUAGUGAUGGCCUGGCGUCACUCGACGUCUGCGGUUUCAGGCAUCAGAAAUCUCAGAGCCCCGGCCGGGGAGCCCCAUGUUCCCCGCGACCGGGUGUUUCCUCUAUGGGAAGCCGCCGCGAAGCUUGUUGGUCAACUUGAGUGCAAUACGCGGCGUGUCGUCUUCUCUCGUCUUCUAGGCUGGGAGAGGGCGGCAUAACUCAAUUCCGGUCAUUCUCUAGAGGGC
rnacentral:RNase_P_RNA from 2 species